rnacentral:rRNA from 1 species
UACGUAGGGUGCGAGCGUUAAUCGGAAUUACUGGGCGUAAAGCGUGCGCAGGCGGUGAUGUAAGACCGAUGUGAAAUCCCCGGGCUUAACCUGGGAACUGCAUUGGUGACUGCAUCGCUCGAGUAUGGCAGAGGGGGGUAGAAUUCCACGUGUAGCAGUGAAAUGUGUAGAGAUGUGGAGGAAUACCGAUGGCGAAGGCA